CAGCCUCUGUGCUACUGUGUCCGGAAUUGGUGGGUUUUUGGUCUCGCUAACUUCAAGAAUGAAGCCAUGGACCCUCGUGAUGAUCAAAAUCCUGUGUGGAGUAAUAUUAAGAUGAACAAAACAACUCCUGGUCUCAGGGAGCUCCUGGAGAAGAUUUGUAAAUCAACAAAGGCACUAAGGGAAUAGAAUGCUAUGUGGGGGACAGGAAGCAUUGUCAAAUGUGAAAUGAGACAGGGUCUCACUAUGUUGCCCAGGCUGCUCUCAAACUCCUGAGCUCAAGCAGUCCUCCUGCCUCAGUCUCCCAAAGUGUUGGGAUUACAGGUGUGAGACACCACACCCGGCCUAUUUGGCUCCCGAUCCAGACCCUAAGACAGAGUUCUUGGAUCUUGCAUACGAAAGAAUCCAGGACCCGUUCCUGAUGUUCUACAAGGAGUGACACCUGAGGUCAGCCGACUAAUCUGUGUUAUUCCUAGAAAUGAGAUGGAUUUGAGUAUUUCUGCUGGACUGAUGUGGCAGGUGAAACAAAGAAAUAUUUACCUGAGACUCUUCUAACAAGCAGUCUCAGCCAGUCACAGGAGCCAAACUUCAGUCAACCACAGGCAGUCAAAUGUUCAAACCAGGUCAAAUAAGGCAGCAGAGCAGUUGAAGAAGCAAAUUAGUAAAUGGUAGCAGAACAGAAUCUGUUCCAAGCACACAUGAUCCCAGGAAUGGAUGGAGAGAGAUGUCAGUCAUGGGACUUUCCACAGAGAAGGUGGGAGCAGAGACACAGCCACAUUGUACUGUGAGGUUGGUGAAGGUCUCAGAAAAGGAUUAAGCAAAUGACAACAAAGAUAAUACCUUCCAUUUAUCACUCUAAUUACAUACAGCCCCUUCUGCAUUGUCUUUGGUUUGUUGAUUGAGAGGGAAAAAUACUUCUUUCUUAAAUAAUCCAGAAUAAAACUUUUAUUUAUUUAA